UUUGUUACCGAUACUGACGGGGGAUCUGCUGCGGCCUCACAAUAAGAGCUGUGCCCACGUUCAGCUGUGUUCACACGGUAUUCUUUGCAGAAAACGACAGCGACAGAGUUCAUGCAACUUAAAUAACUUUUUACAAUGGACUGACUGCAGAAGGAUUGGCUGAGUUGUCUCUCUCUCGAUGAACCUUUCUCUUUGAUCUAAAACCAAGGAAAUGGGUGUGGAAGAAAUGGAAUCUCAAAAGCUUUAAGGCUGUCACAGUAAAUCAUACAGUAAAGAUGCUACUGCUAACACACAAGCUGCUGCAUCUGCCAGUUCUGCAGCAGCCAUUCUCAUCCAGUUUUCCUGUGCUGUGCUGUAAUAUCACAGCAGACAUAAACAGGCUGCCAACCCUGUUUGUCACCUUGAACAGAGACAACAACCUAACUGGGACAGUGUGGUGUCCUUUGUAGCAACAGAAGUCACUGUGAGUGUGGGUAGAAACAGCUCCAGCUCCUCUGCUGCCCUGGUGUA